UACGAAGGGGGCUAGCGUUGCUCGGAAUCACUGGGCGUAAAGCGCACGUAGGCGGCUUUCUAAGUCAGUGGUGAAAUCCUGGAGCUCAACUCCAGAACUGCCCUUGAUACUGGAAAGCUUGAGUUCGGGAGAGGUGAGUGGAACUGCGAGUGUAGAGGUGAAAUUCGUAGAUAUUCGCAAGAACACCAGUGGCGAAGGCGGCUCACUGGCCCGAUACUGACGCUGAGGUGCGAAAGCGUGGGGAGCAAACAGG
rnacentral:rRNA from 1 species